CUGCCGAUGGUUUCUGCCCUGAGGAGCCUAAGAGUCAGCUAUCACGGCUCUGGGAUAUCUUCAUCACCGGUGCACAAGACAACUUUGAUUGGGAUCACAUGAUGGACAAUAUCUUCUGAACCAAAAGGUCGCAUAAUGCAAGAAACCACCUGUAGCCCAUAAUGGGAAGGACUGGGACACCAGAAUAAG
rnacentral:lncRNA from 1 species